GGCGCCGCGCCCGCCGCGCCCCGCCCCGCUCCGCCGGGUAUUUAGCGGGAUCCCGGGAAGGAAUUGGCCUUUCCGAGCGGGACGGAACCGGAGCGGUCGCGUCUGCCCGCCUCCAGUCGGGGCAGAAAGUGAAGCUCAAGAUGAGUUUGUUGCUGGCUUUGGAAAUCCUCAGUCUGGACUCUGCCGUGCCUUGCAAGCAGAAAGAUGUCACAUGAAUUCUGGAGCUACAGAAGUUCUGUGACAUCAGAUGACCACCUCCGCUGUCUUCCAGCCUUGUGUGUGCACACAGGGCCAGCAGGAGAGUCCACCACUUGUAGAAGUGUGGGUGUUUAAGGAGCUUGAAAACAGCAGCCUGGAAUGUGGAGUUCUAAUGCACUUGGAAAUGGUUGCAUUGCCCUUCCUGCUCAUCAGAAAUACUGCUUGGUUCCGUAGUACAGCAGGGAAGUAGCUGUUCACUGAAAACGAAUAAUCCUGGAAUGAAGUUCGGGGUAGAGUGUCACUCCUGAAAGAGAAGUGGCCUUCUGGACAGUCUUAGAACUUACUAUGAAUUUUUGAGUGUAUCAAAUAAAUGGAUCAAAAGUGAAUAAGGCAAAGAUUAAAAUGUGGGAAAAUUUGUGUUGUCUAAAUGAGUGUUUACAGUGUUAGUAGUGGGUACGAAUAAAA